GGAGCUCCUUCUUUGUUAAAUGUC
rnacentral:siRNA from 1 species